GAGCGAGUGCUGGAACCGGUAGACAGCUUGGACUGAGGCUCCAAGGGGAAUUUUUCCCGUGAGGGUUCAAGUCCCUCCUCGCUCACCG
rnacentral:tRNA from 2 species